GGUUGUGUAGUGUAGUGGUCAUCACACUGGAUUUUGAUUUCACGACUUCAAAAUCCUUCCAGUAACCCCGGUUCGAACCCGGGCACGACCU